GACGAACGCUGGCGGCGUGCCUAAUACAUGCAAGUUGAGCGAUGAAGAUUGGUGCUGGCACCAAUUUGAAGAGAAGCGAACGGGUGAGUAACGCGUGGGGAAUCUGCCUUUGAGCGGGGGACAACAUUUGGAAACGAAUGCUAAUACCGCAUAACAACUUUAAACAUAAGUUUUAAGUUUGAAAGAUGCAAUUGCAUCACUCAAAGAUGAUCCCGCGUUGUAUUAGCUAGUUGGUGAGGUAAAGGCUCACCAAGGCGAUGAUACAUAGCCGACCUGAGAGGGUGAUCGGCCACAUUGGGCCUGAGACACGGCCCAAACUACUACGGGAGGCAGCAGUAGGGAAUCUUCGGCAAUGGCAGAAAGUCUGACCGAGCAACGCCGCGUGAGUGCAGAAGGUUUUCGGAUCGUAAAACUCUGUUGGUAGAGAAGAACGUUGGUGAGAGUGGAAAGCUCAUCAAGUGACGGUAACUACACAGAAAGGGACGGCUAACUACGUG
rnacentral:rRNA from 1 species